rnacentral:rRNA from 1 species
CCUACGGGUGGCAGCAGUCGAGAAUCAUUCACAAUGGGGGAAACCCUGAUGGUGCGACGCCGCGUGGGGGAAUGAAGGUCUUCGGAUUGUAAACCCCUGUCAUGUGGGAGCAAAUUAAAAAGAUAGUACCACAAGAGGAAGAGACGGCUAACUCUGUGCCAGCAGCCGCGGUAAUACAGAGGUCUCAAGCGUUGUUCGGAACCACUGGGCGUAAAGCGUGCGUAGGCAGUUUCGUAAGACGUGUGUGAAGGGGGCGGGCUCAACCCGCGGACGGCACAUGAUACUGCGAGACUAGAGUAAUGGAGGGGGAACCGGAAUUCUCGGUGUAGCAGUGAAAUGCGUAGAUAUCGAGAGGAACACUCGUGGCGAAGGCGGGUUCCUGGACAUUAACUGACGCUGAGGCACGAAGGCCAGGGGAGCGAAAGGGAUUAGAUACCCCAGUAGUC